rnacentral:tRNA from 1 species
GCCUGAGUGGCUUAGUCGGUUGAGCGUCCGACUUCAGCUCAGGUCAUGAUCUCGCGGUUUGUGAGUUCGGGCCCCACUUCCGGCU